rnacentral:lncRNA from 1 species
AAUUGGCAAAGAAACUGGGCAGAAUACUAACUCAAUUACCGAAAUGGAAGGAAGAAGAAACAGGAUUGGAAGAGGCCCAUUCUUCAGCAGGGACAAUUCCAUCGCACCGAAACAACGAACCAAGUGUUGAGGACAAAACAAACGGGCAUGAGAUGUACGGAUGAAGAAAAGUGAGGUGAGGGUUUGCGAGGUGAAAAGAAACUACCAUAAGGGUAGAUGAAAAC